rnacentral:rRNA from 1 species
UACGGGGGGGGCAAGCGUUGUUCGGAAUUACUGGGCGUAAAGGGCUCGUAGGCGGCCAACUAAGUCGGAUGUGAAAUCCCCAGGCUUAACCUGGGAACUGCAUCCGAUACUGGAUGGCUUGAAUCCGGGAGAGGGAUGCAGAAUUCCAGGUGUAGCGGUGAAAUGCGUAGAUAUGUGGAGGAAUACCGAUGGCGAAGGCAGCCCCCUGGGAUAACACUGACGCUCAUGCACGAAAGCGUGGGGAGCAAACAGG